GCAAUUUCUUCAAGAGCCAAAGAAUACAUGUUAUAUGAGGUUGAAGGAACUGGAGGUAUUUUAGUUUGAAGAAGAGAAGACUCAGAGGACAUGGCAUAUGGCUGUGUUUAAGAAUCUGAAGGACUGCUAUAUGGAGAAGGGACUAGACUUGCUCUUCUUUGUCCCAGGAGGCAGAAUCAGAAACAAACAAUUGUUGUUCUUCAGUUGUUUCAGUAGAGCCCAAUUCUUUGAGACCCUGUUUGGAGUUUUCUUGACAAAGAUGAGAAAACUGAGACACAGAAAAAAAGUAAUAACUUUCCAAAGUUCACCUACAUCGCAAGCCAAUGCUUUUCUCAGGGCCUCUAGAGAUAUUACUAGCAGUUUCGAUGCCCAGAGAAUCUUUCACAAAAGGUACUAG
rnacentral:lncRNA from 1 species